CGCAGGGUGGGGUGUGCAGGGGGCGUGAUGGAGGAAGACGGCAGAAUCCACAGAGGGGGCAAAUGAAUGCUCGGACUCAACCAUGUCCCCCAGAGCGCCCCCCACCCCCGGGGACUGUAUUUGGAGGUGGGGCCUCUACACCGGGAAUUAAGGUGGAAUGAGGUCCUCAGGAAGGGCCCUGAUCCCACAGGAAGGGGAGGAGACGCAGUGUCCCGCGCGGGAAGACGCAGAGAGAAGGUGGCCGGCUGUGAGCCAAGGAGGGAGCCUCCCCAGGAGGGGGACCCCCGCCCUGUCCACGCUCUGACCUUGGCCUUCUGGCCUCCGGAACCCUGAGAGAAUCACUGUCUGCUGUUUGAGCCCCCAGUCGGCGGUUUCCGUGUGGAUGUGUGCUGUUUUCCGUUCUCUUGGGAGCACCAAGGAGUGCUGUCACCAGAGUUGGCCAGAGGUGUUCUGGGGAUGACCGAGGAAUGAGACGAGACACCUGCUCCUAGGAUGUCUCCCUAGCCAGCUCCUUGGACCUUGAAUUUCCCCUACCCUCCCAGCCAGUUGGACUCUUUAAAGAGAGAAAAGCCCUUGGCCACCCAGCGACUGCUGAUUACCCCCACCAUGCAGGAGAGAUGAAAACUUCUGUGCGCACAAGAAUGAAACCUUCAUGGCAGCUUUGUUCGUAAUAACCCCCAAAAUGGAAACAACCAAGUUCACUCCGUGGAGUAUUACUCAACAACGAAGCGGAGUGGGUUCAAUACAAGUUUCCGGAGCACUCUGCCGAGAAGAGCUGGUCCCCAGAGUCACAUGUCGUACGAUCCCAUGUAUAGAACACUCUUGGAAUGAUGAGGUUAUAGUGAAGGAGAACAGCUUAGUGUUUGUCAGGGGUUGGGGAGAGUGGGGCAGGGGUGUAUGGAGAGCUUUGGGGUGAUGGAACAGCGUAGUAUCUUGAGGGUAGUGGCAGUUCUGGGACUUCACACGUGUGACUUCAAACAUGGCAUAGAACCAGACACACGUGUUAUUUCCACGUCGCUUUCCCAGUUUUAGUUUUUAGUAUUUUUUUUAACGUUUGUUUAUUUUUGAGAGAGACGGAGACAGAA